rfam:Myotis davidii contig68006, whole genome shotgun sequence.
AGGCCUGAAGAGAGAAACAGGGUCUGAUCCAUAGCCUCUGUGGCAGCUGUUGAUCAGCACUUGCUCUCUCUUUCUCUCCA